rnacentral:tRNA from 1 species
GCCUGUGUGGCUCAGUGGUUGAGCCUCUGCCUUGGAUUCAGGUCAUGAUCCCGGGGUCCUGGGAUCAAGUCCCACAGCAGGCU